rnacentral:rRNA from 1 species
CCUGCCCAAGAGAUCGGGAUAACACCUGGAAACAGAUGCUAAUACCGGAUAACAACAGGUGAUGCCUAUCACUGUUUAAAAGAUGGUUCUGCUAUCACUCUUGGAUGGACCUGCGGUGCAUUAGCUAGUUGGCAGGGUAACGGCCUACCAAGGCGAUGAUGCAUAGCCGAGUUGAGAGACUGAUCGGCCACAUUGGGACUGAGACACGGCCCAAACUCCUACGGGAGGCAGCAGCG